UACGGAGGGUGCAAGCGUUACUCGGAAUCACUGGGCGUAAAGGAUGCGUAGGCUGGAAAUCAAGUCGAGAGUGAAAUCCAACGGCUCAACCGUUGAACUGCUCUCGAAACUGAUUACCUAGAAUAUGGGAGAGGUAGAUGGAAUUGGUGGUGUAGGGGUAAAAUCCGUAGAUAUCACCAGGAAUACCGAUUGCGAAGGCGAUCUACUGGAACAUUAUUGACGCUGAGGCAUGAAAGCGUGGGGAGCAAAC
rnacentral:rRNA from 1 species